rnacentral:rRNA from 1 species
CAGUCGCCACGGUAAUACAGAGGGUGCGAGCGUUAAUCGGAUUUACUGGGCGUAAAGCGUGCGUAGGCGGCUAAUUGAGUCGGAUGUGAAAUCCCCGAGCUUAACUUGGGAAUUGCAUUCGAUACUGGUCAGCUAGAGUGUGGGAGAGGAUGGUAGAAUUCCAGGUGUAGCGGUGAAAUGCGUAGAGAUCUGGAGGAAUACCGAUGGCGAAGGCAGCCAUCUGGCCUAACACUGACGCUGAGGUACGAAAGCAUGGGGAGCAAACAGGAUUAGAUACUUCUGUAGUCCCUGUCUCUUAUAC